rnacentral:misc_RNA from 1 species
ACUGUGGAGCAUAGAGUUGAUUGUGUACAUACGAAGGCAAAAAGUUUUAUACAAAGUUGGUUGACAUCAACAGAUGUCUGACAAUGCAUUGGAUAUGGAAUCUGAGGAUCAGAUAGAGGAUGGGGAGUUACUGAGAAGUCCACUGAAACAGUCUCCAAUACAGUUGUCGAAGGAAAUGGAUGACACGGUUUUCACAAUGUCAGAAGAGGAGGCAGAUGACACUGCAGAUUCAUUAGACAUUAAACCACCACAAGCUGCAAUUCUGCAUCAUCAUCAUCACAAAUCGAGCUCACGCAGUGGUGGAAGCACCAAGCGUGACAAGCACUCUGAAAGCGGACGCCGAGAUCAUGUUCAUCCUAACAAGUCUGAUGCGUCAUCGAGGAGAAAAACCCAUCACAGAUCUAGGGAGCACAGGGAGCGUAGAGAAGAGCGAAUCAGAGAGAAACAUCAUCACAGAGAGAGACGAGAACAGAUGCCUACCAGUCGUGGUGAGUCAAAGCGUUCUUCUGAUGGAAGAGGAGGUGGUAGCAGCAGCAGUAGUAAACAGCAGCAGCAGGAGAGGGGAGACCGUAUGUUGGAGGAUCUGCGAGAACGUCUUUUGGAUAAAAGAAGGGCCCAGGAAAGCUCUGAUAGAAGAAUUAAGAUGGAUCAACGAAGUCGACGCUCACAGCAACAACAACAGGAUAUGAUGAUGCAGCAACACCAACAACAGAUGCAGCAACAACCGCCACCACCACCAGUUAGACAUGAGACAGCACGGGAAAAAGCAGAGAGACUCGAAAAAGAGUUAAGGAAAGAACGGCUUUUGGAAGCAGACCGGGAAAUGGUUCGCCAGAAAGAGGUAUACAGGAGAGAACUAGAAGCCAGACGAGAGCGACGCCACUUAGAGAAAGAAAAAGAACGUACCUUACACGAGGUCAGCAUGAAGGGAGAGCGAAGUGAGAGCCGUGAGCGAAAGAGACGAAAGCUGGAAAGUGGUGAACAACAAAGUGAAUCUGAUGGUGAAGAUGUACUUGGUAAAGAUGAACUUAUGGUGGUUACUCUGUCAGAUGAUUCAGAUGGUUCACAAGAAGAAAGAAUGGAGACAAACUCAGGUGCAAAUGUUUCCGCAGGAGAAGGUGAUAUAGUAGUAGAAGAAGUGUCGAGUGGAGGUGAGGAAGCUUCAAGUGAUGUAGAAGAAGAAGAAGAUGAUGAUGAUGAGGAAGAAGACAGUGAAACGAGUUCUGGGUCAGAUGAUGAUGGAGCAGCAGCUGCUGAUACUGAUGACUCACGUGGACAUCACACUGAAAAUGAAGAAUAUGAAGGUAGUCCUGGAUCUGUAAAGAGGGAGCGGGAUAGUCCUGAGAGAGAAAGUCCUCCUGCAGCAGCUGUUGGAGUAAAUGAGAAAAAACCUACAAAAACAGAUGAGAAUGGCAUACCAUUCAUCAGUGAUUCGCCGAAGGCCGAGAAUGCAUUGAAAGAAGAAUUGCCCCCAUACCUCCCUGCCAUCCAAGGAUGUCGUAACGUGGAAGAGUUUCAGUGUUUAAAUAGGAUUGAAGAAGGGACGUAUGGUGUAGUGUAUCGUGCUCGUGAUAAACGAACCAGUGAAGUGGUAGCACUGAAAAGAUUAAAGAUGGAGAAAGAGAAAGAAGGUUUUCCAAUUACGUCACUAAGAGAAAUUAAUACACUUCUGAAGGCCCAGCAUCCAAACAUAGUGACUGUACGUGAAAUAGUUGUGGGCAGUAACAUGGAUAAAAUUUUUAUUGUUAUGGACUACGUGGAACAUGAUUUGAAGUCACUAAUGGAGACCAUGAAACAAAAGAAGCAGGUGUUUAUUCCAGGUGAAGUGAAGUGUCUUAUGCAGCAACUUUUGCGUGCAGUAGCCCAUUUACAUGACAACUGGAUAUUGCACCGUGAUCUCAAGACAUCUAAUCUACUACUGAGCCAUAAGGGGAUACUGAAGGUUGGCGAUUUUGGCUUGGCUCGUGAAUAUGGUUCUCCGCUGAAACCGUAUACUCCAGUAGUUGUAACACUUUGGUAUCGAGCACCGGAACUACUACUGUGUACAAAGGAAUACUCAACGCCUGUCGAUAUGUGGUCAGUGGGCUGUAUAUUUGGUGAAUUCUUGUCAAUGGAAGCACUUUUUCCAGGGAAGACUGAAGUAGAUCAGUUAAACAGGAUAUUCAAGGAUCUGGGCACUCCGAAUGAGAAAAUUUGGCCUGGUUACAGUAAGCUUCCUGCUGUUCAGAAGAUGACAUUUGCUGAAUAUCCUGUAAAUCAGUUGCGCAACAGGUUUGGUGCUAUGAUUACUGAUGUUGGUAUGGACCUUAUGAACAGGUUUUUAACAUAUGACCCAGCACAACGCAUCACCGCCGAAGCAGCCUUAAACCAUGAUUACUUUAAGGAGGCACCUUUACCUAUUGACCCUGCUAUGUUUCCAACAUGGCCAGCAAAGAGUGAGCUUGGACAUCGCAAAGCAGCUGCUGCUUCUCCUAAACCACCACCUGGUGGUCAUGAAUAUAAGCAACUAGGAGAUGAUGAAGAAGUCCCUGCUGGUGGGUUUCACAUGGGUGUUGUUGAGAAAGGACGUGUUGCAGUUGGAGCUGGCUUCAGCCUGAAAUUCUGAAUUACUGGAAACACAGAAUUUACCUUUGUGUUUUCACGAAGGUUAUUUGAUUCUGUGCAUCAUUGAUUAAGGUUAACAUUGUCGUGAAAUUAGUGUGAUGGCGGUAUCAGUGGAACUUAAUUUAUGCUGAACUUAGCUGGAUGGUUAGCACAAAGGAGAUCAAUUAGCCAAACUGAAGACUGAAGCAAAUAUUUGGACAUUUCUUGAGUAUUCUUCUUGCUGUAACACAAUCAUAAUGAAGUGGUUUAAAAUGUUAUAUGAUGUGCUGCUGCCACAUGGUCCUUCAUAAAUUUGGGGAGAAACAACUGAAUGCAAAUCUGAUUCAGCAAACGUACUUAAAGAAAAAACUGUUGUUAGUAACUGACAUGGAAAACCAUAUGAAACUAUUGUGCGUCUAUCUCAUCCUCGUCAAAAUCUUCUGCAUUCUUAAAUACAAGUAGUAAAAGAAAAAAAUGCUGAAUGUGUUCAGAGAGCAGAAAAAGUCAUAAACCAGAGAAUCAUGAGCAAAUAUCCCCACAUCUUUCUUCUUAUUUGUAUUUUUUAGAACAACCUUUUUGUCUCUGUGCUCAUAAGGCUAGUCUUUUUACGUUUCAACCAAACUCAUGCUAACAGUGUGUGCCUAUUAACAUUGGAAAAACAAAAAGAAAGCAAAUAUAUUGACUGCUGUAUUUAGUAUGCUCUGCAACCUAUUGGGAGCCGUUUACAUUUAUGUAAUUUGAGAAUAAAAGUUGAUGGAAUAGUUUGAAAGGUGUGUUGUUACAUAUAAUUUUUUAUAUUUGAUAUUUUCUCUCAAAUAGCAAUGACUGAAAAUAGGAUAGUGUGACUAAGUAAGGGAUUGGAAAAUUAGUGCUCUGCAGAUUCAUGUAUUAAUGGAACACUGAAUGUUUUGUCCCAUUUAUGCAGCUUGUGGUAGAACUGAUUUUCAUUUAUUUCAUAUUAGUUGUAGAAUUCUUUUCCCUUAAUUUUCAAAAUGUGUCACGUUAAAAAUUAUAUGCAUUUGUUCAAUGUCACACUCUUGAUAUUAAAAGAAGUAUUGGGUAUUGAUAUUCCAAAACUAGCAAUGGGACUUCAGUUUUUCUCUGCUUCUUGGAAUUUUGGCAGCAAGUUUUGCCUGCCUUUCAGCUCACCAUUUUGCAACCCAUAAUUUCAAUUCCCUCUUUUGGUACGUCAAAGAUUCAAUUGUGUUUUUAGAAACAUUUAUUCACUCUCCAGUUAUUGCCCAGCUGCUCCUGCAGAUGAGGUGUUCUAACCAUUAGCAUUCUUUGUAUGUAGUUGGUUUAUAGUUGUAUUCCUUAGAAGCAUAUUUUGAGAGAUGGCAAAUCCCAUCACUGAUUUAGGUUUUUCUGGCAUGAUUGUUUGUUCUUUCUUCUAAGAUUUCCACCAAACUACACCCAAUCGUGCUCUUAAUGGUGACACAUGAAUUAGAUGUCUCACUGUUAAAAUCAUUUUGGCUGUUGUGAAAGGAGGACUAAUACUGGUUAUGAUGCUCUGCUGAUAUCAUCUAGAAACCUCUGAAAAAUUCUGUGUAAAACUAUGAAAACACAGGAGAGAUGUUUCUUUGCCUCACAUGCAGAUACUGAGAAAAUGUAUGUUUCAUGUUGGGGAGUAAUGACAGCCAUGUUGUGUGAAAAUAGAGGACCAUGCAAAUCAAAUGACAUUUUGAUAUUAGACCAAGAAGAAAGAAAAAGUAGUAUAAACAUGAUUGUUAGCAGCUGAUAACUGACACAAAUAUUUCACUGUUAUCUGAUUACAUAUUGAAAACAUUCUAAACUGGUUAAAAUAAAUAAUUUGAGCUCAUGAAAAAUCACACAUUCUAUGUUUUAAUGUGAGAGAGAAGUUAGAUAAAUGCAGACCUAAUUUUUUUCCAGUCUUCAAAGAAAAAGAUAUGAAAAUAUGGUAUUUCUCCUUACGCAAAUCUCUGCCCCAGUGCCUCAUUUUCUGGAAUAAUUUUCUUUCUCAAAAUUCCAAACUUUGUUUCUUUGCAGUGCAGAUUAAAGAGUUAGUUUUAUUUAUGUCUAUGAAUUCCUUUUUCAAAUAGUAUUUUUCCAUUUCAGUCUUGACACAAAUAUUUAAUCAAGACCAGAACUGCAUUCCAUGUUUCAGUUGUAUUUUGAAUGUGAUAUUUUUUCAUUAUUUUGGCUUAGUUCCAUUAUCAAGGGCUUCUGAAACACAGUUACAUCAAUUUAUUACAUAUAAAUUGCCACAGCAGAAACUUAUUUUGGAAAUUACACAGAUUGUAAUGGCUGAUAGCAGGAGAAACUGCUUAAUGUUAUUUUGCAAUGUGUGGUGAGUUGUAGUCAGUAUGUGGUGUUUGUGGUUCUCCUUCAUGUCUGGUAUUUCAGGAAUUGAGUGACUUGUUUCAAUGCUUCAUAUUUCAAAAAUAUUUUAUUCAGGAAGUGAUAAUUCUAUAACUGUACCAAUAUUGGCAGUGAGACUUUGUUGCCACAGAAAAAGUCUUGUCGUGAAAUUUAUUAUUGAUUAUUUACAUAUAAGGAACUCUGUGUAAACUUUGAUGAGUAAGGACGUAGUGACAGAAAUAUAGUUCCUAUUACAAAGUAUCUUGUGUCUAUUUUUAUCAGCUAUGUAUAGCACUAUCAGUUAUCUGUCAUUGCAAAAAUUGCUUGUUAAUGUGUCAUACUCUAGGGAAAAAUUGCAAGCAGUACAUAACAGGUUUGUAGUAAAACAAUGAUCUCUUUGUGUUGUUACAGAAUUUUCUGAAAAAAUUGUUAUAAUGAUUCUUUGUGACAUAUUAUCGAAAUAUGUAUCUGUUGUAAAUAAA